UGCCUCGAAUCGUUAUAAAUAUAAACAAAUGAGCUAUUUAUUUGUCAGAAAUCGCUCCGCGUUGAUCGAUCAUUUCCCGGGUAUUUUCCGAUUGAGAGAUGUAUCAGAUGUUUCUCUUGCAUUAUUAAUUAACAGAGCGGCGUAUUGUACUUUAUAUGUGCGUAACAACGUGAAAAGCAAUUUUCAUAAAAUGCAUAAAUAUCGAAUUUUAACGAUAUUAUCCGGUCAUAAAAUAAAAUCACCUGCAUCAUAUUGGUAUUUAUUGCGUUACAUGUAGAAAACACUAUGAACUAAUUUAAAAGUAACCUCAGAAUUUUGAAUUUAUACGUAAAAAAAAAAAAAAAAAAAUUGUCGGUUCUACAUUCCACAAAUUAAACAUACGUACGUGCAUUUAUUAUUAACUCAUUUUACAAAUCGCAAUCGGAGAGGUAAAACUUGACCUCCCCUCCAUUCCCGCGCGGCAUUCAGCUUUGUUUGCCUGCCUGCCUGCUUGGAGGGAAGAAAUUAGUCGCGAGAUUACUUACUUGCACGAUGUACGCGUGCGUCGUCGCGUUGCUCUGCUAAUGUAAUCCCAGCUAUAAAUCCAAUUUGAGAGAUUUACAAUGUGGGAUCGGCGAGAAUCGUCGUUCCUCGGCGAUAAGUUAUCUAUUCUAAUGAGAGUAAUCCCGCGAUGGCUCGCGCCAGGUUUCUCGAGGUAACGACACAGCGAGGAGUCACGCGAGACGUACAUACGUCGCAAACUCCUCUCCACGCAAACUCCCUCCGCCUCUCCUCUCGCCUCCUUUUAACGACCGUGAAAUAUUAUUAUUUAUUGAACGCUUUCGCAACGUGGUCGCGCGUGACGCCGCCGCGCGCGCGAGUAACGAAUAGCAACUCGAUUCGUCGUCUUUCACGGCCACGCUCGCUUAAAUUCGAUCACGGUGGUCUCUUUAGCAGCAUUAAAUCGGCCCGAACGCGCCGAGGCCGACGAACGCUCUCCCCUAAAUGUGAAACCCCGGUUGGCGGGAAUAAUAUUCGAUCGGGAGCGAAAAAUGCUCGGACCGGAACUGCGGUUGAAGUGCAUUUAAUGAAAUUAUUUCGCGACCCAGAUUCCGAUUCCUUAAAAUUGAAAGGACGUACUUUAAAAGCGGCAAUAGCCAUUUAUUGUAUUGAAUAUGUGCACUCUUCAUUAAAUUUAUGACGAGAGAAUUUAAAAUUGAAAUUUGGCUGUAUUGCAGUUUUGCAUCAGAAGUACACGAUUCGAAAUUGAAAAUGUCCACGUGAUUGACAUUGAUUUAAAAAAAUUGUUCCUUUAAAAACAAAAAAAAAAAAAAAAUUCUAAAAUAAUUUUCCUUGAAGCUCUCUCUCCGAUUGGUGCUACAAUCGAUUCAGCAAUUAUUAUAACUUGAAUCAGAUAUAAAGAUUUAAAAUUUUACUUUGUAAAGGCCGGCAAAAAAGAAUGAAAAUCAAUCUCAAAGACGUAGAGACGAAUAAAUAUUAAGAUUGAAAGUUCCACCGUGAGCAUUUUAUAUAGCACGAAUUUGUAAAUUGUUCGUAUAAGUUCCAAUCGAGAGGAUCUACGAUCUCGAAACCGCGUUGGCUGAUAGAUCGAUUCUAUACGAUCGGUAGCGCUCUCCGAACGGGAGAGAAACGUCCGAGUUCUGGAAAUGUUUCGCGAAAACAUAUUUCCCCGUUCCCUUACUUUAUCUUUUUGGGUAUCUUUGCGAGAGUCAAUGGUCCACUUGACGGUGAUUCAUCGUCGCCGUUCUUUUGUGUUACCCGCAGGAGGGAGAUAAGAAACAAAGGGAGAAAAAGCGAAAUAAGAGAAUCGCGUUGACAGGAGGUUAGCCGAAUUCCCGGCGAAAAUUCCGACUUUGCUCUCCUUCGGCGAGUUUCCCCGGAGGAAUCGCGAGUACGUCGUGGAAAAGGGAAUAGGUAAAUAACGAUGCGGUCCCGUUGACGACGGGCACUUCGUUGACACUUUGACUACCGCGUAGCAAUCGCAGCAGUGGAGUAACAGAUGACUACGGGCAACCUUUUUGUAAUAACUGAGUACAGAACAAAGUUGAUACGUCUGUCCGUAACACAGACCUGUACUUUCUUCUCGGUGCUUCAGAGACAAUGCAUUUACUCAUUUACAUAGCGUUAUUACAAUUACUCGAGAAUUUGUAUUUGUAAGACACGUUUUCAUUUUCUACGCGUAUUCCUUUCGUUAUACGUUUGCGUUUCUUUUUUUUAAAGAAUUCUUAAUUCUUUUUUUUUUAGUUAAUUUUUAGAAUAGUUGAUUUUUUUUAAAGAAUUUUUAGUCGAAUGAAUGAAUGAAGACGUAAAAUAAAAUCAUAAAAUCGUCAGAAAAUAGAAUCGUAGAAUUCGCAGCCGUGUUUUACAGAGGCACGCAGAUUUUAAUAGAAAGAUUCGUCAUUCGUAUUUAUACAGUGCGUCAGGUAAUAUAGUUUUACGGGCAAGGCCUUCGUUUCCAUGAAAGCAGCAGCGGGGCCACAUUAUCGCCGGGUUUGCAUUUCCGUUUCCGUAUCGACGGCCGUUUCUUAUCGCACGAAUUUUCAGCUUUGUUUUUUUUUUUUUUAUGCGCCAACCGGUGAAUGUAAUCGCGUGACAAAGUGGCUCUCUCCCUGUAAAUGGAAUUUUCUGGAAGAAUUGCUACUUUUCUAUGCAGGGGACGACGGAAAUUGGGAUUGCACUCACCGUCGCGGAAAGGCAACAUCUCCGCGAGUUCAUGUAUACAUAAAUUAUUGUGGAUUUUGUAUAAUUAUUGUUGCUAUGCAUGAAACAAUAACUUCUAUAUUAAUUGUCUUUUUUUUUACUUAUUCGAUCUUGCAGCACUGCAACGACAUUCGUUCUACUUUAAACGAUCUAUAUAAUUUGCGUCAGAACUAUAAAGAUAUAAUUCUAUUUAUAAUUUUGUGCGUCAUGCAGAGUGAACAUUGAAGAGCUUGCAUUUGAAAAAUUGGAAUGUAAGUAUGUAGAUGAAAUUUAUAUAUAUGUAUCUUCCAGCACACAGCGUACAUCAAAAAUACAUGGUAUAUAUUAUACAAGUGGAAUUUUAUUCCGAGACCUAAAGCGAAUUAUAAGUUGGUCUAAAUCAAACUUCAGAAAACGCGAAAGAGAGGAAAUAAUUUUCAAUUCAACCUCGGCAGCGCGAGUCUUCCGUCCUGUUUUCUCGAGUCGACGCGAAUCGCGCGCGACUUGCGCAAACACAAUGGCGCCACGUUGUAAACGUUAACAAUCGUAAACUGUACGAAGAUUUACAGCGCGCUGAGAUUACGUCGUCGCGAUAUUUGCGGUCGUCGUUACAAUUUGUCCUAUUACUUUUGUUGUACUCUUGUACCACGGGAGACGGGCGGGACCGGAAAUGCGUCCUCCUCCGGAAAGCGUUCCGACGAAAUCCUGCGGGAUGCUUUCGGAAGAGUGGUCCUUCUCUCUAGCUGUUGUUGGUGUACUGUUACGUCGUGGCGGAAAGUUUAGGUCGUAAAACAGGAUACCCGUGUCGUUUUAUCGUGCUCGUAAAGAGCCCGCAUCGUUCCGCAAUGAUUGUCAAAAUCAUUAACCAUCUUGUCGAAAACUAGAGAAUAAGGUUAAUACUUUCUAUUAAUUUAAGAGAAGGGAUUGACGAAAAGUUGAAUAAAGAGGUUUAUCUGUUCGGUAAAGUUUUCGCAUAUAUUUUUGUACGCUGCGCUUUUUAAAUAUGCAUUUUACAUAUUUCUCUCUAAAGGUGCACUAUUCGCAAGUUCUUAAUCUUUGUUUCUUUUUUUACAAUGAUUUUCCAUCUUUUUACACUUUCAAAGUUCUUAAGUUUCCACACAAUUUACGGAUGAAAUAUGACAUAUUUGUAUAUAACUAUAGUGAAGUCUACAUCCACUUUCGUAAUCAUAUCUCUUAUAUCAUAGACUCUCCUGAUAAUAAUUAAUCCACGUAUAUUUCUCCUGAUAAUAAUUAAUCCACUAUAUAUUAUAAUUCUAUUAACAAAAUUUGUACGGUUAUCCUCUCACAGUUGCCACAAAAUACAUUAUUUUUACACUGAAAGAAAAAAUUUGUAGUGGUGGCAACUGUAAGGGGACAACCGUACAAAUUUUGUUAAUAGAAUUAUAAUAUAUAGUUAAGUGAACUAUAUUAUAGUUAUAUUAUUACUAUAUUGGCAUAUUACAACUAUUUUUUAUUAGUUCUCUUAAUCAUUAACUUGGUUGUAAUAAUGAAGUUUGCUUAACUAUAUAUUAUAAUUUUAUUAACAAAGUAUGGCUGUGCUUUUACAGUUGCCAUCGCUACAAUAUUUUCUCCCAGAAUAAAUCAGAGAAAUUCGUCAGUUUUCUUUUUUGCUGCUGAAAGUUCUGAUUUACGUUCCUAUGUAUUUCAGAAACUUUUUAAUCAUUUCAAUUUUAUCGGAAAACGCGAUGGUGGUUAUUGUACCAAAGUACCAAAGGAAACGUCCGGUGCAUACUAAGGCAAUUAACGUAUCGUUAAUACCGCGGAUUUACAGUCGCCUAUAUUACGCUUCGUUCGUUUGCCGGCCACUUGUAAUGUUGCGCCAGCACAUAUAUAUUCUCCUAUCACAAGCGCAUAAAAUCUAAUACACGAGCAGUCAUGCUUGUCGACGACGUAUUUCACGGGGACAAGUAUUAAUCUCGGAGCUACACGGGUUUUGUCAGUAAAAAAAACAAAAUUGUAUCGGUUUGCGUCAUAACUUUCCGCAUAUUUCCCUUUUUGUUCAACGCUUAUUCACGAAAAAAUUGUGGUUUUUACACAAAUCAUUAUUUCUUCUUCUUCUUCUUCUUAUUAUUAAAAUAUAAGAAAUGUAUGAAUUUGUUGUGACAAUAACGGCUUAAUAAAGUGGGACGCCUAAAUAAUGUCGAGUGCCUUUCGGCGCGCGAACGUCGCGUUGCGCCGGCUGUUUGCGCGCGCGGGUAUAUUUGCGGAGAUAGCGGUUAUCUCCGCCAAAUACGUCUCCGCAAUAUCUCGCUCCUCCCGAGCGGAGAGUAAUUACGAUCGAUGCGGGAAUCAGUGGGGGCUCGUGCGUAACGAAUUUCGCGAGCGCGUUAGACUCGAAGACACUUUCGCGGGAAUGGAGAUCCGCGAGAGAUCCAAAAGUUUGCCAAGUUUCCUCUCGUAAGAGCAAAUCUGGAAAAAGUUUCGUUUUUCAUAUCGCACGAUCUCUGGGGUAUCUUUGAAUGGUCUCCGACCAGUUAAUUAAAUUUGAUCGCUAUGCACUGGCGUGGUGGAUAAUUCUUAAAAAAAGCUCCGAUAUACCGGCGCACACAUAUCGAAUCACGUUUUAGCAAAAAAUUAUUUCUUUUAACGUUCGCAAUCGUGCGGUAUGCUAAUGUCUCCCUGGCGCUGAACAAAUUUCGAACGUGUCGAAAAUUUUGUGCGCGCGCGCGAACGUGAGAAUUUUUAUCGGCGAACGCGAAAAUCAGAUUCACAAGUAGAAAUUCCAUUAAAGCUCGUAUUUGCUCUCGGAUAUCGCUGACGAUCGGAUACUUCAGCUCUCUCUCCAGCUUGGUAAUUCUACAAAGCGGGCAGGCAACGAGAGAUGAUAUCAAGAUCGAGUUCUCAGGGAUCAUCUGCUGUCGAAGAGAGAGAGAGAGAAAGGGGAGUAGGGAAUAUUGUAUUUUGUUACCAGAUGUUUACUAUUGUAUGUUCAGGAAGUGUAAAGACUGGGAAUUCUGAGAGGGGCAGAUUGUUAUUUUAGGCUAAAUCAUAAUGAAUUUAUGAAAUUGCACAAGGAAUGGACGUUUGAUAUAAUAUUAAUGUUUAGCAAGAACCCGGGCAAGUUAAAUAUGUUUAACACAAAUGAAACAAUUGCAAUUUAAUUAAAUAUUGAUCAAUUUUUUAAAUUUACAUUUUUGAUUAUUUAAUUUAUAUUUGAUGAUACAAGCGAAGAUCCAAAAAGAAUAAAAUGUUUGAAACAUUCCAAUGGAAACUUUUACCAUUCCUAUGCGCUCUCUCUCUCUCUCUUUCUCUUUCUCUUUCAAGAAUUGCUUUAUGAAAUUGAAGUGUAUACUUAUAUUUACUUUUCAUCUUCUUUAUUUGAUAUUUAUGUACAUAUUUAUUUAUAUAAUCGUGUUUUGUCGAAGUAAAAUUGUAUGUAUGUAAACAUUUUCUAUAAAAAUUAAUGCACCUUGAAAGAGUUUGAGUAUGAUUGACCUACGGCCACCAUAUUCUUCCAAGAAUUAAUGUAUUCGUCUUUCAGCUUCAAGUACUGUGUCGCAUCGCGCUGGCAUUUGUCCAAAACCGUUCAACGUCCGUUCCGACAAUCUCAUUCUCGGUAUUGGCAUUUUUUUCUCGCUUCGCUGCGAAAGAAGCUCGUUUCGAUCUCAAAGGAGUGCCGUGCAACCUCAGGAAUUCUCGUCGCAAUUCGCUGCAGUUGAAUGAAGCACUUGAAAUAUCCACAAAGCACUCUCAUUGGUAUCGAUCGAACGGACAGAAUAAUUUUGUAUUUCUUAAUGCAGGGGCAUUGUGUUGGGAGCAGUUUCGUUAUUAUCGACAUUUUUAUGAUGACCUCAUCUCAGAGAAUCAAUUCUUCUUCGAGAAAAAUUGUUCAUCUUUAGAAUAUCUCGUGCUCGCGCACGCGUGUUGUUUGCUGAAAUUAAAAUCAUUUAUAAUUACUGCUAUAGCUUUUAAUCCAUUAUUCAUAAUUUUCGAUUGGUUAUCGUCCACAAAUUAGAAUUGUUGAUAAUUGCGAUCGCGAAUAACCAUUAUUUUCAUUUAAUAUUUACAAUCUGUUAAUGUAUCUUGGCGAGUUUACUCACCUCGAGCCCAUUCGUCCCUCCGGAUCUUCCCGGCACUCUAUUGACGCGUGUGAGACAGAAGGUCUAAUAAUACCGCCGUUAUUAAACUCAGUUGCAAACGAGAAGUGGAAUUGCAACGGCUGUCUAGCGCAAAAACAAAUUAGAAAUCGAUUGCUCCGAGGGAGAAUUACGAUGCCUGCAAUAUGGACGGCGUAAAAUCACGAUGAUUGAUAAAUAAAUUACGUCGCUUUUAAUCAUUCGGAGAACUCGUACAAUUAUUUCAUUAAGCAAAAUCAACUUUGCCGGUAUCGAUUGACGUGACAUCUAUAUUGCAAAUUAAAAGAAACAAUUUAGAAUUAAUCGUACCGAUUUGUUGCCAAUUAUUAUUUUUUUCCCUUUUCGCUGCAAUAUAUUAAUUUCCUACGCGAUAUUAAUUUCUCGUUUCUUAUCUUAUUUAGCUGUAUUCCCUCGUUUAGAGCCUCAGCUUCCUUCGAAAUCCAAAGUUAGUGUUGUUGAGAGUAUUAUUAAUCUUUUUUUUUUUUAACAAAUAAAAAGGCGAGUUUUUUUAUUUUGCAUUUCCGUUUUUUUGGAUCAUUACAAUAGAUUCUACUACUGUUGUCCUUUGCAAUAUCUAUCCGAGAGCUAAUUGCGUAGCUAAUUCCGAGUUGUCAGCAUAUAUUUUCUGUAUUUUUAAUGUAAACGCAUUUUUCCGCAUAAAAACAGAACAAACGGAGAAUUUUAAUGCCACGCAACCGAACUCGGAUAAACGCUAUGUGCUAUUCGUAAAAACAAAAGCUUCGUUCUCUGUCGCUAUCAGUUCUCUUUUUUUUCUCGCCGAGGAACGACCCUAUCAAAUUUCAGUAUAUGCUCGUUGAUAAAUUCUAAGCGUUGUCAUCGUUCAUUCGAGACUGUUUAAAAUUGAGUAAUCGCGCCACACGACGAUUCGGCACGUGCUCGUUGAGCUUCGGUAAAGAUAUAUUUAUAUAUAUAGCAUCUUGCAUCAUUAAUAUUAGAGAUAAUUGGCUGUUAAAAUACGAAGGAAGUUUGGAACUUAGAUUGAUAACGGACUUAACGAUGGGCUCGAAUCUUUGAAAAGAACUUAAGGAAUUUUAACUUUUCUAAUUGGACGCCGAUAAGAUUGGAACAAAAAUUUUACCUGUGUCACGAGAAACUUAUUUCUUUACGCGCGACAUAUAUUUUGCAAUAUUUAUUAUAUAAGUUAAAUUAUUUUUACGUAUUCUUAUAUUUGCAUUUCCGCGUUUUGUCGACUGGUCGGUACUUAAUUUGAAUGAUUUGAAAUUCGGAUGCACUAAACUCGCUAGUUCGUUAGUGGUUUUUUCCGAGUCGUGUGUGUUUGUCUCUUUUUUUUUUGUUCAAUUAUAAAACGCGAGCGCUAACGUUAACGCGUUACACGCAUUCGCGGUAUUUUCACGCAGCGUGGUUAAUUGUUUUAUUAAGGCAAUUGCCAGAACUAUUCGGAAAUGGUGUGUCGGUUGGUUUCCAUUUCGCAGCUCGUUUAUCGUGCCCGCCAUCAAAGGAUAAUCCGUUUUUAGAAAAGGAAACUAUCAUUUAGUAAUUGCUCUAUAAAUGAUUGAUCCAUUCCAGUAAAUUAAAUUAUUUGCAAUAUUUGUCGUCAAUUUUUUCCCGAAAAGAACGUCGAGUUAUAUUUUUAUAUUAUAAUAUGAAUUAAUUUGCGGAUAUUAAUAAUUUUUAAUCUAAAUUUAAAUAAUUUCUCACGUGCAUGUAAUAAUUGUUGAAUAGUGAUUUAUUUUGUAAAAGGAUUUUUCUUUGGAAAAUCGAUACCGUGGUUUUGUUCUUUACGAAAGUUAGAAUUCACUUUUUUCUGAAAAAAUUGCAAAACGUAUCGAAAAAUUGUUCCUGAAUAAAAUAUGAAUAAAAUCAUUCCCGAGUUAUGGAAGAACAAAAAUAUUUACAAUACUUCGCAAAUAUACUGUAGAAUUUUGAAUUUAAUUAGUGUUAUUACAAAAUUGUACAUACACACAAUGCCGUGAAAUUCCCUUGCGGCAUCUGUGUGAAAGCGCUCAGGGAAAGCGCAUUUUUCGACGCAUUCCGCUGCGCAAGCUUCUCUCCGCAAGGUUAGUAGCAAUUAGCGUACAAAUGGUUGCUCGUCGUUAAAUACCACCGGUCGUUGUCAUCAUGUAGUUAUCCGAGCAACGGCGGCGAAAUGACAGCUCGCGUGGAACGGUUGGCAGAAGCGCGCGAGAAACGAGACGGGAAGACGUUAAACGGAGCUCUCUAGACGCCGUCGCGCGUGAGGGAUGAGGAAUGCCUCGGGAUUUACCGUUUUCCACCUCCGAUUCCGAGAUUUCAUCUCGGACGUUUUCCGCAUACGUCUCCCUUGCGGUGAAGUCCACACGCGUUUCGAAUCUAAUGCAUUAAUGUGAAAAUUGUGACACCCACAUGCGAUCGACGUGAUCCAAAUUGAUGAGAGAGAUCAAGAGCGAGGGCGGAAAAUAAGUUUCUUAUUUCUUGAAUUUAUUUUUCAGUCCAUUCCGAGUUGCAAAAAAAAAAUAGCUUUUGUUCUCCCCAGCGUCAAGAAUUUAAUUAUUAUAACUUGACUUUUUGUAAUUUUAUUUUAAACUAUUAUUUCGACGCCUACCAAUUUAUUCCUUAAUUAUUGAUUUAUCGAACCUAAUUACUUGCGUUACACUCGCGUUUCUUUGAACCUUUCGAACUUUUUCUCUUAAGAAUCGUUUGAAAUUUGUAAACGCAGAGCAGUGUUCUCGUCUUUGCUAGAAAUUACUUUAAAUUUAGACUGAACAUUUUUUCCUCCUUACAAAGAUUUCACAUUAAAUCUAGGCAGCAUACGUCAGUAUACUUGUUUCACAGAUGAAAAUACACUUUCAAUUAGGGUUAGUUGUACUGCUAAUUAAUCCGCGAAUUCCAACGUGCUGUUCCAUCUCUCGCAUUCCUUCGACGUCAAAUCCGGAAACUAUCGAUAUACUCAGACUCCUGUAGCAAAUGAUGCAAUCUUGUCGCACACACACUAUGCGAGCUAUCGUGCUUCAGAGAGAGAGAGAGAGAGAGAGAGAGAGAGACAGAGAGAGAGAGAGAGAGAGGGAGAGAGAGCGCUGAAGAAAAAGCUCCGGGGCUCGUGCUCUCCUCUCUCGUGCUGUACACAAUUUAAUCGCUGCAAUAACGACGCCAGACGGCCGACGAAUAUCGCGCGAUAUCAAGCGGAAACUUUACUUUCGUACUGAUAUAGAUAAAAAUCGUGAAGUGUGUAAUACUUUUCUUCGCGAAGCUGAACGAACAUUUGAAGAAGUUUUAUAAGGAAAAGAAAAAAAUGAUACAUAGGAACGCAAAUUUGUAUGGCUCGUGCACACUCGGAAGGAUGCAAAUGAUAUAUUUUGUGAUAAAUCGAUUAAUGAAAUAAUACGCGUAAUUUCUAAAGCGUCGUUACACUUUUUUUACACAGAGUUUCGAAGGCUCUCGAUCGAUUUCCUGAAACGCUGCGUGGAAAAUGUACGUCCACAAGCGUCUCGUACAUUCAUUGUUACGUCAACAAGGGAAACGAGAACGAGGCCCAAACUGCCUCUCCAGUUAAUUAAUAAUAACGCGAGUUAAUUAAUUUCAAAAUAGUUGCCGCGGAGAAUCCGACGACGAAUUCCAAACGUAAAUAACAUUGUCAUCGUCGUGCACGACGCGUCUACAGCCGUUACACAACGCGCGCAGACGUGGAAUAGAGGCGAUAAUCUAGUCAGGCGUGUAGCCUGCCAAUCGUGGAACACGCGGCCCGAACGAAUCUAUUCGGUUAUGCAAUUGAAGGCAGGCGGGCGGAAUGCAAUUCGUGCGAAUGCAACGCACGUCGCCCGCACGCGCGCGCGCGCGCGCGCGUACGUGUGUGUAUGUACGUAAGGCAGCGUUGCGUUAUUACGUGGCCACGAUGUUAUGUGUUUACAGGCACGUUGCCGGCGUAAUGCGCGUCGUCGCGCGAUUUCCGUAGGUGCACGAACCGCAGACCGCCGUUAAUGGGGAAUCGCGAAUGGAGCAGCGGCUUAAUUACCAUCGCCAAGAAACUUGCGCGGCACGCGUUGCUGCACGCGCGUUCCGCGCGAUGCGAAAUUUUUGCGCGAAACUCCCGCGCGCCCGACAGGGAAUCGUCGAGCGUUAAUUAUCAACCGGCAGAUUGUCGCCAGUUAGAAGCGCGGUGUUCUUAACUAGCUAGUAAAUUUCUACCCUUUCGGCGCUCAUUUUCGUUAUUUUGUACCCGUCCGUCUUUGACGCUUCAAUCUCGAUUCUCAAUUAAUUCUCUUUCAUGCCCGCUGAUCAUGCCAGCUACCUAAUAAUUCCAUCCUGAAUAUUAAAUUUUGUCCUUUCUUCUCAAAUACUGUAUCGUCGAUUUUUUUUUUUUUUAUUCGUCGCUUAUUGACGCGCGCGCAAUUAUUUCCGCUAAAGAUCUUUCGAUAGAUCUCGCCAUGCAAAAUAAAUCUGUAAUUUUAUUAUUGCGACUCUUUAUCGCCGAGCCAAUCUAUCGAAUCCGGACUUUCGAAUACAUCGCGUCGCAUUGUGUUUCCAUCGCAACUGUUUUGCAGCGCAAAUGUUUAUUCGAACGCGGAUACACGAUUUCUCUCGGAUAUAUAAUUUCUAUAAAUUCACGCGUGCACGCGCAGACAUCGUACACGAGAACAUAUACUAAAAUCCGUAUCCGGGCCAGAUACGGUGAUCAAAAAUGAUGGAUCCGAAUUUUUUUUCUCACCAUCGAAAUUCGUUUCCUGCGCGUGCGCGAUUACACCGUACGGUACGAUUUCACAAAUCCGGGAUUUUUUUUUUUUUUUUCAAAAUGCGAUCAAACACGUUCCAAGCGAACGCCGACAGAUAGAGGAGCCCCGACGAUCGAAAGCCGAUAUGCUCCUUUUGACGCAGCGUCAUGGAAGCGGGAUGGGAGCGGGACGCGCGAGAAAAGUGUUAAAAAACAGGAUACGAUUGACGCGCGUGCAAUCGAACAAACGCUUUAUUUUUAUUCCACGUAUCCUGAACCGCAGUUUCAAUAGGUACAAUGCAUUAUAAGCGAGCCGUGUACUUUCGAUGGAUUGCCACUUUUUUUUUCUUGUAAGCUUGAAUCUACGGCAAAAGAAUUACGAAACUGUUGUUCUUUUCAUAGCUGCUCAAAGUUUCGCAAAAAUUUGACAUUGGACAAACCAAAAGAUUAAAUAUUGCAUACAGUGUCCAAUUAAAAUUAAUAUCUGAAUGUUUUCAAAAGUUGUAAGUAAAAGCGCAAGUUACUAAAUUAUAAAUACAUUCUGUUUAUCGUUUUUUCGUCUUAUAAGAAUACUCGUAAAAUAUAAGAUCUGAAUUUUUACGCAGAAAGAACUAUUUUGCUAAAAUGAUUGCUGGGCGCAAAGAAUCCGUUGUAUCUUUCAUGUUUAAUUUUUUUAAAACGCGAUACGAAAUGCGACGUAAGAUGCGACUUUUUUUACGGCUCGUAUCUCGCUGAAUAAUUGCGGCGUCACGUUGCAAAAUAUAACGAGUUGCUCCGCAGAUGCGAUGUCGAAUUAUUUUAGACUCACCCUCGAAUGCGUCGUUGCGAAAAGCGAGGCUCUCCCUCCUUUUUUUUUUUUUUUUUUUUUUUGAAAGACUUUCUGGGCCCUCGGUGAAAUUACACGAUCGUGGCUGGCGGCUGGCGUUAGUUUUCGCUCGAAGUGCAUCGCGAAGUACACGCCAGCUCGAGUGCCACCCCUUAAAAUGCACUCGAAACGGCGUCGCGGUGGCGCAAGAUGUUACAUACCACCAUCGUCGCGUCGCGUACCCGUCGUGGCAUCCCCCACGACGAGGGAAGCAUCCCUCAAAGUGAGAGAGGACACUCGUGGUUUUCCUGACCCUCCGGUGAAGGGCUGAAAGUAGGAUAAGGGCUGAGCCUGGAUGAGAGCAUCCAAACAAAGAAAUCGACGCCCGUGCACGGCAAGAGCCUUUCGCACUGGCAGAUCACGAUCCCGCGCGCUCUCGGAUGGCUGCUUCAAAGCUGCUUCCUUUUUUGAAUCCUUUUUUGAAUUGUUAUAAAAGUCCGGGGUUCUGAAACGAAUCUCCGUGUAGUCUUUAUUAAUUUAAAAUAAAUAUUUGAAAGAUGUAUUUUAGAAAGUAUUUUUAAAUAAUUCGACUUGUGAGAAUUGCUAGAAUUGAAGAAAGUGAUAUUCUGAAAUGAUUUUAUGCGACAGCGUGGUGCUUUUUCAAAGUUAAUAAUUUGUCCCUUUCGGAAUAUUAUUUUUUGAUUAUUUAGAAAAAUAAUAACAAUGAAGUUCUGUAAAAUUAUGAGGCUAUUUUUAUUUGAUUUUUUUUUCAAUUCUAUUGAAUUGUUUUACUUUAAAUCCAACGAAAUGAUAUUUAAAGUCAUGAUCAAAAGGGACGUGGGCCUUUUCAUCUUCUCGACGGAUACCGGUAAACGCAUCCCCCGCCCUCGUAAUUAUUUAAUCUUUUUCCGCGUUCCGUCGACGCUCGCUUCCGUCUUCUUCCGACCCCUCGAUAUUCCGAAGGGCGGGAAAUGAAUUUUGCAGGAAGCCUCGCAGUCACGUUAGGUGUCUCUUCAUCCCCGGUGCGUCCCUAUUCCCGAUUCGAGAUCGAAUCAGGCGGAGUCGUUAGAGAAUCACGCGAUUCCGCGAGUCGUACAUCCGGCAAAUAAAAGGCUCGACCGAAGGAUUUCUCCGGGAAGUUCGAUCGAUCGAUCGAUAGAUCCUUCGUAUCGUGAUCGCUCUCACCCUCGCUGCGAAUCCCUUCGUGAAACCGACGGAAAAUUGCAAUUCAGUGAAUCAGUUAAAUAUAAUGUAGAAUCUCGUACUUCGAAGGAAAUUAUUAUGCAUUCGAAUGAAAGCGCUGGAAAUCCCUCGAAUUAUGGUAAAUUAAUAAUUAAAUGGUUUUUUGCAAGAAUAAAAGAGAUUGUCCCUAUAAAUUUGUAAUGCAUAAGCAUUAUCUUUUACAUUUAUUUUAUAAUUAUAAAGGUAUUUAUAGUAUUAAUUAUUGAAUGAAUAUAUUAAUUCAGUCAUUAAUGAAAUUAGUUUUUUUUAUAUUUUUACAUUUUAAAUCAUAAAAUUUAAUUUAAUUAUAAUUUGUCACUUAUAACGUUGAUCUGAAUAAAAUGUUAAUGAUUACAAUUCCUCGAGCAUUUCACAGAUUUUCCGAUUCAGGCUUCAUCAAAAUACAGAAUAACUUUCCGAGUCUAUUUUUAUAGAAAAAUCACACCACCCAAAGACGUGAUGUAAUGAACUUUUCUCAAAUACGUUAUUAAACAUCAGUUUCUUGCACACUGAAAAAAAUUGUAGUGGUGGCAACUAAGGGAACAACCAUGCAAGUUUUAUUAAUAUAAUAGCAUUAUAAUAUUAUAUAUAUUUAAGUGAAUUAUAUUAUAGUUAU